UACGGAGGGAGCUAGCGUUGUUCGGAUAUACUGGGCGUAAAGCGCACGUAGGCGGCGCAGCAAGUCGGGGGUGAAAUCCCAGAGCUCAACUCUGGAACUGCCUUUGAUACUGGGUAUCUUGAGUAUGGAAGAGGUAAGUGGAAUUGCGAGUGUAGAGGUGAAAUUCGUAGAUAUUCGCAGGAACACCAGUGGCGAAGGCGGCUUACUGGUCCAUUACUGACGCUGAGGUG
rnacentral:rRNA from 1 species